GUCAUUGAUCAGGCUUUUUCCAUAGUGGAUCCCAUUCGUAUAAUAGGCAGCUGUGAUUUUCUCCCUUGAGAUUUGUGAUAUCUUCUAAAUACUUCGUAUUGGCAAUUCUACGCCACUACUGUUUUGUUCCUUCCCGACGCUAUGCUUAUCAUGGGUCACAGAUUUGGUGGUCUCCUUAUGUGAGACACUGGGUGAUUCUUCAUCUAUGAAGUGUUUGGCUGAGACACCAAAGAAAAAAGAACAAAUAUGACUGAGAUGUUGGGUGCUACCCAUUACUCCAUCAAAGUGGCCCAGUGGAUGCUUCAAACUUCUGGGGCAACCACUUACAUGAAAUCCAUUGGAGAGGACAAAUACAGAGAGGGAAUGAAGGAUGCUACAGUAGCUGGUGUCAAUGUUGCUCAUUGUAAAUCUUUCUGCUGCAAAUAACGUGUGGUGGAUAACAUCCAUGUUGUACUUUAUUUAUUAAGUGGAAUCUUAUAGAAUAGUCAUGUGGUAUUUAACAUCCAUGUUGUUUCUCCUUUACGUUCUUUGCUUUUAAUUUUGUGUACCAAAUCAAUUUGUGUGACCUGUUUUUGUUGGGUAUAUUGUAAUCUUCUUUAUU